rnacentral:rRNA from 1 species
CCCUUAGAUGUUCUGGGCCGCACGCGUGCUACACUGACCGGCGCAACAAGCUUUUUUCCUUGGCUCGACAGGCCUGGGUAAUCUUCGAACGCCGGUCGUGAUGGGGAUAGAUCCUUGCAAUUUUUGAUCUUCAACGAGGAAUUCCUAGUAAAUGCGAGUCAUCAUCUCGCGUUGAUUACGUCCCUGCCCUUUGUACACACCGCCCGUCGCACCUACCGAUUGAAUGGUCCGGUGAAGCCUCGGGAUUGUGAUGAGUCUCCUUUAUUGGGGGUUCGUCGUGAGAACUUGUCUAAACCUUAUCAUUUAGAGGAAGGUGAAGUCGUANCA